ensembl:lncRNA
AAAAUUUCAGAUGUUUUUUAUUCAAAGGUUCUCAAAAGAAAUAAAACAGAAAAGCUAACAAUCUGAUCAAAUGUACAGUUCAAAAAUGUCUUUUGGCGUUUAACAACAAGUCCUAGGAAAGAAAACUACAGAGUUAUCUUGAACCGGACAAAUAAGUUACCACUGGCAAGUCUGUGGCACUAGUAAAACAAAAAUAAAAAAUUAACUCUCUUGAUCAUAUAGAUAUCUCUAUGAAAAUCUUUUUUUUUCAAUCUGUACAAAAGGUCUUUCUUCAUAAAUUAAUUUUUUUUAUAAUUUAAUGGCUGUCUACUAUGUGAUGUUUAACUGAUCUUUUUUUAUGUACAGAGGUUAUGUUUCCCAAAUCUUACCCAGACGAGUAUGGCACUUAGUUCAGACAUUUCUAGCAGCAGAUUUCCCCUCCCCUCUAACCGAGCUAUCAAAUUUCUGUCUUAACUAAUGCAAAAAUAUCAAGUAGUGAGAGACCCAGGUUUAUAACUGUACUAGGUACACAGAGGGUGCUGCGUUCAGUCUGGACUUUCACAAAGCAGUAAUAUUCCAGGGAGCAUAGAACCAAUAAUACCACAACUUUAAAAAAAUGAAACAAAAACAAAAACAAAAACACAUUUCUCUUAUGACUAUGUAAUUUUCACUAGAAUCUACACUUCUCAGAGCAGCAAGGACUUUUGAAACUAUGAAAUGUCACUGACAUCUAUCAUCAAAUACAAGCAUAAAAUUUAAGAACUAAAAAAUACUUGAAAGAAACAACUGCUUAGCCCUAGCUCCUGAGCUAGGAGGAUUUGGUCUGUGGAAACAGGGAGGGCCAGCAACCUGUCCCAGCACAAAAGAAAAUAGACUCUGAGGUAGAUAACUGAUCAUACACAGCUGACCAGACAAGUACACAGUUUUGGAAGACAACUUAAUUUACCAUUGCUUUUAAAACAUAUGCAAUUGCCUUAAUAAAAGAGCUUUAAUAACAGUGAAUUAUCUUAUAUGUACUAAAGUAGAAAUAACUGUGUAUUUAUGAAUCAGGAAUUUCAUAGUUUCAAAAUUGGUUUUCUUUACACUUGAACACUUGUAGUGAUGACGUAAAGUGUGGCACUGCUUGGAUCCAAAUCUUCCUUCAUGCUUUUUUGUUUGUGUGUGUCCAUACAUCAAUUAAAAUUAUAAAACCUAAAUGCAAAGGUACAAAAAAGGCACAUUCUCCUAACCGCAAACUGGUCCGGCAAAAAUAAAGAGCACAGAAGAUGUGAUGCUGAGACAAGUUGGAGCUACUGGUUACUGGCUCUUCGGUCUUUGGUGAAGUUACCUUUAAAAGUGCCAAGUCAUUUUUAUUUUUCAAAUUUACCUAAUAGAGAGAGAGAGAGAGAGAGCUAGUAGCCAAUCGUUUUGCUUCUAUUCGUAUCUCAGCUUAUGUUUGAAGAUAAAUCCUUACUUUUAGCUUUUGCCACUUGGUUGCAAUAGCAACAUGUUUCGGUUUGCCAGAUUUCAGGCAUAAUUCUCAUUCUAAAGCACUAUCAUUAGUAUAAAGGAAGGACAAAACAUUCAGUGACUC